UACGAAGGGGGCUAGCGUUGCUCGGAAUUACUGGGCGUAAAGGGCGCGUAGGCGGAUAUUUAAGUCGGGGGUGAAAGCCCAGGGCUCAACCCUGGAACAGCCUUCGAUACUGGAUAUCUUGAGUACGGGAGAGGUGUGUGGAACUCCGAGUGUAGAGGUGAAAUUCGUAGAUAUUCGGAAGAACACCAGUGGCGAAGGCGACACACUGGCCCGUUACUGACGCUGAGGCGCGAAAGCGUGGGGAGCAAACAGGG
rnacentral:rRNA from 1 species